CCCUGUCGUUUCUCAGUCCUAGUACUGAUGCUUGCCACUGUCCACUGGAAAAUAAGGCACCGUGAAAAAGCAGUGAGUUUCAGUUUUAUUCAGGGACCUUACUGAGGAGUGUAGCCUGGGAGACAGUCUCUCAGGUAGCUCUGAGGAGUGGCUCUGAAGAGGUGGGAGGGUGCAGGGGAGCCAGUGUAUAUAUAUAUGAAAUGUUUUGGCUAGGAAAUAUAUAUAGUCAAGCAUAUAUCUCUACUGCUAAUCACAUACACCAGAAACCUCCAGAUAUCUCAAGUUAAGUUAAUGAUUUUAGUGCUUAUCUAUGUAUGAGAAGAUGCAAAAAUCUGGUGUCAUUGAAAUUCUUCCUUAGAUAUGCUGUCUUAGCUAUCUAGAGUCCUUUAUAUCAAAAAGCAAAAUGCUUCAGCCUGAAUUCCUUUCAGAGUGCACGGCAUUUCAGUGACUGCAAUAGCUAAUGACUUGCCCUUGUAGAACUGGAAUGGUGGGUAACAUCCUUUGUUUAUACCACCUUCCUUAUCAUAAAACUGCUGCUGUGGCAAAUAAGACAAAUGCAAGAAUCCUUGGAUGUAUCAGAUCAAUUAAAAGUCAUCACUGUCUUCAGGAAGUAAAUUUUUGAAAAGAGAUCCUAAAGAAUGAGAUGUAGGGGAUGGCAUCUACCCCAACAUCCAUUCCCUACAAAGACUGGAAGGCAGGUGAAGAGAACUACAUAAAGAUGAGACAAAACCAAACAAGAACUACAUAAAGAUGAGACAAAACCAAACAAACAUAACUCGUUUUAGGAAAAGGUAUAAAUAACUACAGAAUUUACUAGAAGACCUUCACAGCCCUGUUUAAUAAUGUGAAUUUUAUCAUGAUCAAAGUCAACCAUUUUCUCCAUCUAAAGACACCUUUAAUUUCUUUCUUGAACUCAAUAGCCUCCUAACACUUCUGCCUCCCAGAGGCCCACUCUCACGUUCCUUCAUCCUAUGUAUGUGGCCCUCUGCUGUUCUCUCGACACUCUUCUUAGGCUACUUGUGUGCUCCUUCAAGCAUCAGACCAAAACCACUCCCUGGAUGUUUUUAGUUUGAUGACUCUGGCACUUCAAUAUGUUCAAACCCAAACUUAUUAUCUUUCUCCAGGGCUGCUUAGCGCAUUACCUUGUACCUCCUUCUCUUAUCCAGACUUUGGCAAUGAUCUCCAAAUUUGUUUCUCUGCCCUGCCCUUGGUCUUCCUUUAUCCAGUCCAUUUACCAUCAGAGUGAUCUCAUAAAAAUAUAAAUUAUUCAAUAGCUUUUCUUUCCACCUGGAAUGAAGUCCAAAGUCAGUAGCUUUCCUGCCUUUGGUAUUUCAUCUAAAAAGUCACCAUCAAACCCAAAGUCAUCAAGAUUUUCUCUCAUGUUAUUUUCUAGGAGUUUUAUAGUUUUACGAAGAUCUGUGGCACCUGGCCAAGAUUGCUUUGCCAGCUAUCCCUACCCCUAGCCUGGGAACCUCCAUAUGCCGCGGAAGCAGCCCAAGAGAUAGCAACAACAACAAAAAGACAAAAUAAAUAAAUAAAUAAAGAAGAAAUUUUUAAAAAUUACAAGACAAAUGGAAAACUGGGGGAAAUAUUUACAUCAUGUAUGACAAAAGGGACAAAGAGUUAGUGUCCUUGAUGCAUAAUAAGCCCUUACAAAUUAACAAAUAAAAGAUAAACAAAGGACAUAGGAAGUUCACCAAAGUAGAAAUGGCUAAUAAGCAUAUGAAAAUACACUGAAUCUCUUCAGUUAUCAAAGAACUUCAAGUUCUAACAAUGAGAAAGAAUUGCUUUGUUUAUUCAAUUGACAAAGUUUUGUUUUAGUGUUUAUUUUUUGUUGUUGUUAAAUGGUAAUACCCUAGGUAGAAUAAAAUGAGAAUUUGACCUUGCUCUAAGGAGUCUUGGAAACCUGCAUCAACCCCUUAAUGUAUACAUAUAGUGUGACCAAGCAAGUCCAUGUCUAUAUUAUUGGAAAUAAUGCCCAAAGAUGCUUAUGAUUAUUAAAAUAGGUUGAAGUUUACAAACAACCUGGAGUUCCCGUCAUAGCUCAGCAGUAACGACUGACUAGUAUCCAUAAGGACACAUGUUCAAUCCCUGGCUUCGCUCAGUGGGUUAAGGAUUCAGCUUUGCCAUGAGACUCAGCUCGGAUCCCUCGUUCCUGUGGCUGUGGUGUAGGCCAGCAGCUACAGCUCCUAUUCCAUCCCUAGCCUAGGAACUUCCGUAUGCCAUGGGUGUGGCCCUAAAAAAAGAGACCAAAAAAAAGUCUACAAACAACCGAAUGUUCAUCAGUAGAGGAGACUAAAUCAAUUAGGUUUUUAUUUUUGGAGUUCCCUAGUAGCUCAGUGGGUUAAGGAUCCAGAAUUGUCACUGCUGUGGCUUGGUUUCCUGCUGUGGCGCUGGUUUCAUCCUUGGCCUGGGAACUUCUGCAUACUGUGGGCAAGGCCAAAAAACAAAAAAAAAAACCCACCACAUUUUAGAAGAAUUAUGAUAAUGUGACAUGGGAAACUGUUCAUGAUAUACUUUAGAGUGGGGAAACCAGGCUACAAAAUAAUACAGUAUGAUUCUAUAUAUGUGGGGAAAACCUCUGGGCUGUAUGUGUCAGGAAUUCUCUUUUACUCAGAAAAGACAGACAAAUUUGAGCAUAUUCUCAGACCUUUUAGCAUUGGCUGAAGGUUUGUGCAUGGUAGAUUUACUUGACAUGCUACUUUUUGCAUUUUCAGUGCAGCUCCUACGUAAAAUACUCGGUCUGCUGAGUUUUGCAUCUACUGACUCUUUGGAGGUAAAGCCAGGCAACCUAGAAGGAAGGUACUGGAUAUUAAAUACGGAUGUUUAUAGAUAACCAACUAUUACUGGUGCUUGUCUCUGGAUGAGGAGACGUGGCAAUUUUAUUUUCCUUAUCUUCACUGUCUAAAUUUUCAAAAACAUAUAUUCAAUAAUUUAUACUGAAAAAUUAAAUUUUAAAGGUAAUUUUGAGGAUAUCUAGUAGAGUGAGAAACAGUAUUUUCUUCCAGAUAGAAGUGUUUAAUGAGAAUUCAGAAGCAAGCUUAGAAAUAAUUACAUAUGUAUAAGUGUAUAUAUAAAAGACCAGAAGUAAAUAAGCCAAAAAUCUCUAUUGGGGUAACCACACUAGGAUUAUUAAUAGUAAAAUUAUGAAAGUAACAUUCCCUCUCUAUACUAAUAAUAUGUUAUAUAAUAUAAUCUAUUAAAUAUAUUUAUACAUGUAUAUGUAAUAUGUAUGGAAUAUAUUUAAUAUAGUAUGUAUAUAUACACAUAUAAAGAUCAAGUGUGUGUGUAUAUAUAUAUACACACACAUACAUAUACAUAUAUAUGUUAAUAUAUAUAUAUAUACACACACACACACACAUAUAUAUUCCUCCAAGGGAAACUUGACCACAUCAAAUUUUCCCUUGGAGCAAAGGGUGACCACUUUAACAUGAAACUGACCCCCAGAUUACAUGCAAAUAUAUGCCUUAGCAGAGAGGAUUUUUAAAUUUAUUUUUUUUUUUUUGUCUUUUUAGGGUCACACCCACAGCAUAUGGAGGUUCCCAGGCUAGGGGUCCAAUCAGAGCUCUAGCUGCUGCCCUACGCCACAGCCACAGCAAUGCCAGAUCUGAGCUGUGUCUGCGACCUACAACACAGCUCACGGCAAAGCCGGAUCCUUAACCCACGAGCGAGGCCAGGGAUUGAACCCGAAACCUCAUGGCUCCUACUUGGAUUCCUUUCUCCUGCUCCAUGAUGGGAACUCCAAGAUAAUUUUUUUAAACAAUUCCUAUUCAGAAUAUUCAGGUUAUGACUAGUGGAAAAACUCAACACAUUCAACAUCUUAGGAGCAGUAUCUACGGCUCUUCCAUGCUCAGAACGUGUUGUGGGGACCCCCUGAAAUGGCUUCGGCUGUGUUCCAAUAAAAUUUUAUUCACUGACAUCG
rnacentral:lncRNA from 1 species